UACGGAGGGUGCAAGCGUUAUUCGGAAUGACUGGGCGUAAAGCGCACGUAGGUGGGUUUGUAAGUCGGAUGUGAAAUCCCGGGGCUUAACCUCGGACUGGCAUCCGAAACUGCGAAUCUUGAAUGCUUGAGAGGUUGGUAGAAUUCCUGGUGUAGGAGUGAAAUCCGUAGAUAUCAGGAGGAACAUCGGCGGCGAAGGCGGCCAACUGGCAGUGCAUUGACACUGAGGUGCGAAAGCGUGGGGAGCAAACAGG
rnacentral:rRNA from 1 species